rnacentral:rRNA from 1 species
CGUAGGGGGCAAGCGUUGUCCGGAUUUACUGGGCGUAAAGAGCGUGUAGGCGGCCAUGCAGGUCCGUUGUGAAAACUGGAGGCUCAACCUCCAGACGUCGACGGAAACCGUGUGGCUAGAGUCCGGAAGAGGAGAGUGGAAUUCCUGGUGUAGCGGUGAAAUGCGCAGAUAUCAGGAAGAACACCAAUGGCGAAGGCAGCUCUCUGGGACGGUACUGACGCUGAGACGCGAAAGCGUGGGGAGCGAACAGGAUUAGAUACCCUGGUAGUCCACGCCGUAAACGAUGGGUGCUAGGUGUGGGAGGUGUCGACUCCUUCCGUGCCGUAGCUAACGCAUUAAGCACCCCCGCCUGGGGAGUACGGCCGCAAGGCUA